GGCUGUUAUCUUUGGUUAUCUAGCUGUAUGAGUGAUAUUCAUUCUUCAUAAAGCUAGAUAACCGAAAGUAACAAGAAUCCCAUUACACACCUGAAAGGCAUCACCCACCUUGUGAUCUGUACUCCUCCCUUCCCCUCUUCUCAUUUCUUCCCUAAGUCUCUCUCUCUCUCUCUGCAUCAUCUUGUGAGAGCAAGUCACAAAAUGGCUUCCAUCGGUACUGAUAGGAAAGACCGACAAUCAGUCUCUCCAUGAUGCCAGGAAAAGAAAACGCUGAAGAAAGCGGGGCAGGUCAGUUGUGUUGCAGUCUUCCCAUUCUGAGUCCUGCUGGCGUUGCUGCUCCCCUCCCCUUUGCUGCUCGCCUGCCCCCUUCCUCCCAUCACAAGAUGCAGCUUGCACAAAGCCACCAUCUUAGAGCAUGUGGGAAUUAAAUGGAUGUGGAAAAUAAGCAGUUUUUCAAGUUGAGUCGAAUAUCCUGGAAUCCAUUAAAUGGAGGGUUGAUUCAAGUACCGACUGCUGAUGGAGUCACAUGGGUUUUUACUAUGCUUGUGUCCCAACAUCAGAUACAAAUAGCACUUUAAUUGUUCAUUAUAACUUCAAUCUUGGCAUUUGGGAAACCUUUAGUACCUACUGUUACAGGGGCCAUAUGUUCCAUGAGUCUUGUGUGUAUGUUUGAUGAGUGUUUCUAAUUCUAAGUGUGUGUGUAUGUGUAUAUGCGUGUGUGUUUGUGUGUUGACUGUCAAGAAGAUGAGUGGGGAUAAUGCAAGAAACUUACUGUUGUACAUGUCUUGGUCAAAGUACACAAAUUGUGUAUUUAAACAAACACACUUAGAAUUCUCAGCGUAGAAUGGUUCUAUUCAAAUGGUUCUACUGUGGAGGUUUUGUAGAAAGCAAGUUUUAAAGGUCAAUCAUUUAAGUACUUUUUUGGCAAAAAACAAAGAAAAUUAAAUAAGAGAAAGAUUAGGCUAUAAAUCUUAAAAACAAAUUUAACCCAGGUCAAAACUAAUCUGUCUUGGUAGGCUGUUAUGAGUACAAUCUUGUGCAUAGUGCACUUUAUAAAUUCACAUUUUUUCUCAGAUAAUUUUUUUCUCUCAAUAGAUUUCAAUAUUAAAAGGAAAAUGUAGAGACUGCUGUUCUAGAAACUGGCUUGUUACGUUCUCUGUGCAUCCUAAAGUAUUUCUCUAAUAACUGAUUACUAAUUUAAAUAAUAAUGUAUACUGUAACCAUGUGUAAGAUUCUGCAUGUAUGAAUGCGAGACCCACGGCAGCAGUGAACAGUACUGCACUCUAAUUGGACAGCUCAGUGUGUUGUGCAUCACACACUUGUUGGAAAGAGAGCUGUUGUCUUUAAUUUCUAUGCAAUUGCGUUGAGCUUGCAAUCACCUGAAAGAGAACGCAGAUCAGAGCAGUUGUUUAUGACUCAAAAUACUUUAAUUGAGGCAUUUUUUGACAGUAGAUUAAAUCUGUUUUAAAGUGAGAUGAAGAGAAAAUGUUAAGCUGAAAUGUCAUAUGCCCACUAAAACAAGUUUCAACAAACUAUAAACUAAACAUGUUUUUUGUUAAAAUGUAGUUUCAGGACUUCAGUUUUAAAGAGGAUUAAAUGCUCUGUCUCUCUGUAUUUUGUAUUACAAUCAAUUAAGAGAAAAAUCACUAUUGCUAUGCAAAUUUUAUAAACUAUUUUUUCUGAAAAGUUUUUUUAUGCAGUAUUUGAUUUUUAUCAUCAAAAGAGAUCUGUUUUAAAUUUGAUGAAUCAAGUGACUGUGAAGACAAUGAAUUUAUUAAAUGGAGCUUUUUACUAUGCAAUCUUCCACAAUUGUGUGUUCUUUGUGUAAUUAUGUAAUGAGUCAUGAUUUUCAGUUGGUCAUAGCGCUGUAGUAUUAAUGCUAAUAAUUAAAAUCAUGUUUUCAUUUAAUUUGUAACUCUUUAAUUGUAUUAUUUUCCCUAUUGUAGGUUUCUUUCAAGUUGUAGAUGAGUGCAAAUGUGAGAUUUUUGUGUAUCAUUUUACUAAUUACAAAUACCACCACAUGUGCCUUUUAACAAUGUCCUGUUAUGGAUAUUAAUAAAAGUUUACUUUG